AAGUCGGUCAUGAAAGCUCCCGGCUCAACUGGGAGAGGUUGUUCGAUACUGCUAGACUAGAGGGCAAGAGAGGGAGGUGGAAUUCCCGGUGUAGAGGUGAAAUGCGUAGAUAUCGGGAGGAACACCAGUGGCGAAGGCGGCCUCCUGGCUUGCAUCUGACGCUGAGACGCGAAAGCGUGGGGAGCGAACGGGAUUAGAAACCCCGGUAGUCCACGCCGUAAACGAUGUCAACUAGGUGUUGGUGGUAUAAAAUCCAUCGGUACCGGAGCUAACGCAUUAAGUUGACCGCCUGGGGACUACGAUCGCAAGAUUAAAACUCAAAGGAAUUGACGGGGACCCGCACAAGCAGCGGAGCGUGUGGUUUAAUUCGAGGCUACGCGAAGAACCUUACCAGGGAUUGACAUGCACGUAGUAGGGAAGCGAAAGCGGACCGACCCUUCGGGGAGCGUGCACAGGUGAUGCAUGGCUGUCGUCAGCUCGUGCCGUGAGGUGUCAGGUUAAGUCCUGUAACGAGCGCAACCCCUGUCGUGUGUUAUACGUGUCACACGAGACUGCCGGUGUCAAACCGGAGGAAGGCGGGGAUGACGUCAAGUCAGCAUGUCCUUCAUAUCCUGGGCUACACACACGCUACAAUGGUCGGGACAAUAGGCAGCCAAGCCGCGAGGCGGAGC
rnacentral:rRNA from 1 species